rnacentral:rRNA from 1 species
UACGUAGGGCGCAAGCGUUGUCCGGAAUUAUUGGGCGUAAAGAGCUCGUAGGCGGCUUGUCACGUCGAUUGUGAAAGCCCGAGGCUUAACCUCGGGUCUGCAGUCGAUACGGGCUAGCUAGAGUGUGGUAGGGGAGAUCGGAAUUCCUGGUGUAGCGGUGAAAUGCGCAGAUAUCAGGAGGAACACCCGUGGCGAAAGCGGCUCUCUGGGACGGUACUGACGCUAAGGCGCGAAAGCGUGGGGAGCAAACAGG